rnacentral:pre_miRNA from 1 species
CUACAUAGGUUGAUCUCACCGGGUAUCAAAAUAUCGAACGGCGGAAUAAACCUAUGUAACU